rnacentral:rRNA from 1 species
UCAUGUUGUUUAAUUCGAUGAUACGCGAAGAACCUUACCAGGUCUUGACAUCCCCCGCGAUGCUUUAGAGAUAAAGCGGAGGUAUUCGGGGAGACAGGUGGUGCAUGGUUGUCGUCAGCUCGUGUCGUGAGAUGUUGGGUUAAGUCCCGCAACGAGCGCAACCCUAUUGCUAGUUACCAUCAUUAAGUUGGGGACUCUAGCGAGACUGCCAGUGAUAAACUGGAGGAAGGUGGGGGAUGACGUCAAAUCAUCAUGCCCCUUAUGACCUGGGCUACAAACGUGAUACAAUGGCUGGAACAAAGGGAUGCGAAGCAGUGAUGUGGAGCGAAACCCAUAAAAACAGUCUCAGUUCGGAUUGAAGUCUGCAACUCGACUUCAUGAAGUCGGAAUCGCUAGUAAUCGCGGAUCAGAACGCCGCGGUGAAUACGUUCUCGGGGUUU